rnacentral:rRNA from 1 species
AACGAACGCUGGCGGCGUGGAUAAGACAUGCAAGUCGAACGCUAAUCAAGGGGUAGCAAUAUUCCUUGGUUGGAGUGGCGCAAGGGUGCGUAACACGUGGGUAAUUUGCCGUGAUGUUGGGGAUAACUUGCUGAAAGGCGAGCUAAUACCGAAUGUAGUUGUCUGAUGGCAUCAUUGGAUAACUGAAGUUGGGGACCGUAAGGCCUGACGCAUCACGAUAAGCCCGCGGCCUAUCAGCUAGUUGGUAAGGUAACGGCUUACCAAGGCUAAGACGGGUAGCUGGUCUGAGAGGACGACCAGCCACACUGGAACUGAGACACGGUCCAGACACCUACGGGUGGCAGCAGUCGAGAAUUUUUCUCAAUGAGCGAAAGCUUGAAGGAGCGACGCCGCGUGAGGGAUGAAGGGCUUCGGCCCGUAAACCUCUGUCAUUUGCGAACAAACCGAUUCACCUAACACGUGAAGCGCUGAUUGUAGCGAAAGAGGAAGGGACGG